rnacentral:misc_RNA from 1 species
ACACCUCAACUCUCAUGGCUUGCCAUGAUGAGCUUGGACUUUGGGGGUCUUGCUGGCCUGUGGUCAGCUCCUCUCAAAUGAAUCAGCUUGCCAGUGUUUGGUGGCAUCACAGGUGUGAUAACUAUCUACGCUCGUGGUUUUCCGCCAGGUAACCUCCAGCAAUGGGGGUUCACUGGAGCUCACGAACGUCUCUCCUCGGCGAGGACAGGUCUUUGAAC